rnacentral:rRNA from 1 species
AAAUUAACAGUAUAACGGCGUAAAGAGUGGUCGCAUGCUAUCCAAGUAGCUAAGAUUAAAAAGCAACUGAGCUGUCACAAGCCCAAGAUGCCUACAAGACCUCUACCCAAAGAAGAUCUUAGACAAACGAUUAAUUGAAGCCACGAAAGCCAGGACCCAAACUGGGAUUAGAUACCCCACUAUGCCUGGCCCUAAAUCUUGAUGCUUAAUCUAACCGAAGCAUCCGCCCGAGAACUACGAGCACAAACGCUUAAAACUCUAAGGACUUGGCGGUGCUCCAAACCCACCUAGAGGAGCCUGUUCUGUAAUCGAUGAUCCACGAUACACCUGACCAUCCCUUGCCCAACACAGCCUAUAUACCGCCGUCUCCAGCCCACCCUCAAUGAAGGCCCAACAGU